AUAGCGUAUAUUAAAGUUGUUGCAGUUAAAAAGCUCGUAGUUGGAUCUCGGGGCCAGGCUCGCGGUUCGUUUUGCGACGAUACUGCCCGUCCUGACCUACCUCCCGGUUUUCCCCCGGUGCUCUUCGCUGAGUGCCUCGGGUGGCCGGAACGUUUACUUUGAAAAAAUUAGAGUGCUCAAAGCAGGCAGUUUGCCUGAAUAACCGCGCAUGGAAUAAUGGAAUAGGACCUCGGUUCUAUUUUGUUGGUUUUCGGAGCUCGAGGUAAUGAUUAAGAGGGACAGACGGGGGCAUUAGUAUUGCGACGUUAGAGGUGAAAUUCUUGGAUCGUCGCAAGACUAACUACUG
rnacentral:rRNA from 1 species